rnacentral:rRNA from 1 species
CAGCAGCCGCGGUAAUACAGAGGGUGCGAGCGUUAAUCGGAAUUACUGGGCGUAAAGCGCACGCAGGCGGUCUGUCAAGUCGGAUGUGAAAUCCCCGGGCUCAACCUGGGAACUGCAUUCGAAACUGGCAGGCUAGAGUCUUGUAGAGGGGGGUAGAAUUCCAGGUGUAGCGGUGAAAUGCGUAGAGAUCUGGAGGAAUACCGGUGGCGAAGGCGGCCCCCUGGACAAAGACUGACGCUCAGGUGCGAAAGCGUGGGGAGCAAACAGGAUUAGAUACCCGCGUAGUCCCUGUCUCUUAUAC